rnacentral:misc_RNA from 1 species
UUUCCGUAGGUGAACCUGCGGAAGGAUCAUUAACGAAUAUAUGUCUGUUUUAAGACAUUUUUCUAUUUCAAACACCUGUGAAUUUCAUGAAAUUUUUGCUUUGGCUGAAAUUAAUAUAUAUAUAUAUAUUUUUUUUCGGCCAAACGUUUUUAAUUAAAACCUUUUUAUUUAUAAACAUUUUGAAUCUGAAGACUGUUUUAUGAAAAAUUUAUUUAAAACUUUCAACAACGGAUCUCUUGGUUCUC